rnacentral:rRNA from 1 species
AACGCGAAGAACCUUACCUGGACUCGAAAUGCAGUUGACCGCCUCAGAGAUGAGGUUUUCCCGCAAGGGACUACUGUAUAGGUGCUGCAUGGCUGUCGUCAGCUCGUGUCGUGAGAUGUUGGGUUAAGUCCCGCAACGAGCGCAACCCUCAUCCUUAGUUGCUCGCCCGAAAGGGAAGCACCCUAAGGAAACUGCCUCCGAUAAGGGGGAGGAAGGUGGGGAUGACGUCAAGUCCUCAUGGCCUUUAUGCCCAGGGCUACACACGUGCUACAAUGGCCGGUACAGACCGUUGCCAACCUGCGAAGGGGAGCCAAUCGGUAAAAACCGGUCUCAGUUCGGAUUGCAGUCUGCAACUCGACUGCAUGAAGCUGGAAUCGCUAGUAAUCGCGUAUCAGAACGACGCGGUGAAUACGUUCCCGGGCCUUGUACACACCGGCUAC